GCCUACGGGGGGCAGCAGUGGGGGAUAUUGCACAAUGGGGGAAACCCUGAUGCAGCGACGCCGCGUGUGGGAAGACGGUCCUCUGGAUUGUAAACCACUGUCCCCAGGGACGAAGAUGACGGUACCUGGGGAGGAAGCUCCGGCUAACUACGUGCCAGCAGCCGCGGUAAUACGUAGGGAGCAAGCGUUGUCCGGAAUUACUGGGUGUAAAGGGAGCGUAGGCGGGAUAGCAAGUCAGAUGUGAAAUCCUAUGGCUUAACCAUAGAACUGCAUUUGAAACUGUUAUUCUAGAGUAUGG
rnacentral:rRNA from 1 species